CAAGUACUCCCUCCGUCCCAAAAUUCUUGUCUUAGAUUUGUCUAAAUACGGAUGUAUCUAGUUACAUUUUAGUGUUAGAUACAUCCGUAUCUAGACAAAUCUAAGAAAAGAAUUUUUGGAUGGAGGGAGUACAUU
rnacentral:pre_miRNA from 1 species